rnacentral:rRNA from 1 species
CGGAGGAAAAGAAACCAACAGGGAUUGCCUUAGUAGCGGCGAGUGAAGCGGCAAUAGCUCAAAUUUGAAAUCUGGCGUCUUCGGCGUCCGAGUUGUAAUUUGAAGAAGGUAUCUUUGGUUUUGGCUCUUGUCUAUGUUUCUUGGAACAGAACGUCACAGAGGGUGAGAAUCCCGUGCGAUAAGAUGCCCAAUUCCAUGUAAAGUUCCUUCGACGAGUCGAGUUGUUUGGGAAUGCAGCUCUAAGUGGGUGGUAAAUUCCAUCUAAAGCUAAAUAUUGGCGAGAGACCGAUAGCGAACAAGUACAGUGAUGGAAAGAUGAAAAGAACUUUGAAAAGAGAGUGAAAAAGUACGUGAAAUUGUUGAAAGGGAAGGGCUUGAGGUCAGACUUGGUAUUUUCUUUUGAGUUUACCGGGCCAGCAUCAGUUUGGAUGGCAGGAUAAUAGCAUUGGAAAGUAGCUCCGCUUCGGCGGCGUAUUAUAGCCUUUGUUGAUACUGCCUGUCUAGACUGAGGA